AAUUGCGCUACAGAGAAACAGAGGGUGAGAUGAUUCCGAAACAACAAACAGAGGAAGAUACGCCUAGAGAAAUCUCCACAGACGGCUGGUUCCUCGUGACAAUCAGGCGAUGAUGAAAUCGUCAAUGAACAGUCAGGUCGUUUCGUCUCCGAUUGAACUCUAGAAAUAUUUUAGAUUCAUCCCAAAAUUUGUCUGUUGAUUUCUGUUUUGGCUUUUGUUUUCUCCCAAUCUCUCGCCGUAUUCCGAAUUUCCAUUGCCGUCGGUUGCACUGCGGAGCAGGAAUCGAGUUCGCAAGGAAGGUGUUCGAUGGAAUGACGAAGCCGGACUCUGUUCUGAAGAAUACCUUUUCAAGAGAGAGAGAGAGAAUCAGCAAGCUUUAUCUGGCGGCGAGAGCAAGUUCAAGUUCGAGAGCGCAAGAUGUUGUCAAUUCUCGGACAAAAGCCGGAGGAUCGGAUGCUGUGUAGUGUUGAUAGAGGAUGCGAAAGAGUUGUGCUGCAGUGACGCGGUUACAGAGUUAUGCUAGUGCGAUGAAAGAGAUGACUGUGAGAGAGGCUCUGAAUACUGCGCUUGAUAAGGAAAUGCCUGCAGAUCCUAGAGUCAAUCUAAUGGGUUGUGAGGAGGUCGGAGGAUACCAAGGAGCCUUUCAAGGUGUCUUAAAGGUUCUUUUGCAGAAGUAUGGACCUGAGAGGGUUGUUGAUGCUCCUAUCACAGGGGCUGGUUUCACUGGAGUUGAAGUCGAGCCUACAAGGUGUCUUUAGUUUCAAGAGGAGCUGCAGCAGGAGUUGGUGCCCGACACUCCCAAGCCCUGCGAGGACGUCGCCAUCCCACUUGGAGGAAGCUUUACCGGAUCCGGUCUCGUUAAAUCACUCAUCACCCCUCGGGGUCUAUCGGACACGAGAAUCGUCCAUGGCGUACGAAAUGAGAGUUGCUCAUGAACUGUGUAACAUCUCUGGGAGUGGAUAGUUGGCAUGGUCGCAAAUUUUAUUGGUGUUUACUCAAGUCUCCUUUUCAGUUGCUAUCAUUACGGUAUCAACAUAAGCACAGAAAGAUGAGGUGUACUUAAUAACGUAGGCGCAGGAUGGGACCAUUGUUAUUACUCUGAUUAGCUCAGCUUGUAAUGUUUGGUAUUAGCC